rnacentral:rRNA from 1 species
CGACGUUGAUAGGCCGGGUGUGUAAGCGCAGCGAUGCGUUGAGCUAACCGGGACUAAUGAACCGUGAGGCUUAACCUUACAACGCCGAAG